CGAAGGGAGAGGGAGAGAGAGAAUCUUAAGCAGGCUCCCGGCCCACCACAGGGCACAAUGUGAGGAUGGAUCUUAGAACCCUGAGAUCAUGACCUGAGCCAACAUCAAGAGUAGGGCACUUAACCAAUUGAGCUACUCAGGCACCUCAAAAUUUAAUGUAUCUUAGAAAAAAAAUCUGAUUAAAAAAAAAGGAAGUCUGCUUUGCAGAUAAACAGAUGGACUACAUCUUCCUCUGCAAAUGAUGUUGUAAGGGUAAUGUUUUUUAAAUAUGGGGCUAAGAAUAUCAUCCAUCUUCAGAUGUACCAACACUAACACAAAGGAAAAAAACAAAAGAAUCAGAAACACGGCAAUGAUGGCAUCAGUCCAUUGUUCUUUACCAAAUACUAUGAGAAGGAAAUAUAUUUGAAUUGCUACAAUAUGACGGCCCUGAUUUUUUUUUAACUUUAAUAUGGAAAUGAAUUUCUGACUCAAGAAAAUGCUGUCAAUUUUUAAAUUUAUUUGGCUUCUUCCAUAUACAUUCCUGUGAAUCCUUCAUAUCCCUGCCUAGUCCCUUGUGGAAAUAUAUUAUUUAUAUCGAACAAGGAGCUGAC
rnacentral:lncRNA from 1 species